CCUACGUGAGGCAGCAGUGAGGAAUAUUGGUCAAUGGGCGCGAGCCUGAACCAGCCAAGUAGCGUGAAGGAUGACUGCCCUACGGGUUGUAAACUUCUUUUAUAAAGGAAUAAAGUGAGGCACGUGUGCCUUUUUGUAUGUACUUUAUGAAUAAGGAUCGGCUAACUCCGUGCCAGCAGCCGCGGUAAUACGGAGGAUCCGAGCGUUAUCCGGAUUUAUUGGGUUUAAAGGGAGCGUAGAUGGGUUGUUAAGUCAGUGGUGAAAGUUUGCGGCUCAACCGUAAAAUUGCAAUUGAUACUGGCAGUCUUGAGUACAGUUGAGGUAGGCGGAAUUCGUGGUGUAGCGGUGAAAUGCUUAGAUAUCACGAAGAACUCCGAUUGCGAAGGCAGCUUACUAAACUGCCACUGACAUUGAUGCUCGAAAGUGUGGGUAUCAAACAGGAUUAGAUACCCUAGUAGUC
rnacentral:rRNA from 1 species